rnacentral:lncRNA from 1 species
GCUCUUUCUAGAUUCUACGGGUGGCGGUGCAUGGCCAUUCUUAGUUCGUGAAGUGAUUUAUCUAGUUAAUUUCAUUAACGAACGAGACCUCAUUCUACUAACUAGCUAUACCGAUGUAACCCUUCGUGGCCAGCUUCUUAGAGGGACUACGACCUUUUAGGCCGUGGAAGUUUGAGAAAAUAACAGGUCUAUGAUGCCCUUAGAUGUUCUGGGCCACAAGUGUGCUACAUUGAUGUAUUCAACGAGUUUAUAGCCUUGGUCGAUAGGUCCGGGUAAUCUUUGAAAAUUUCAUCGUGAUGGGGAUAGAUCAUUGUAAUUGUUGGUCUUCAACGAGGAAUUCCUAGUAAGCGUAAGUCAUCAGUUCAUGUUGACUACAUCCCUACCCUUUAUACAUAAUGCCCGUCGCUCCUACUGAUUGAAUGUUCUAGUGAAGUGUUUAUAUCGCAUCGACGUGGGCGGUUUGCUACCUUCGACAUCAUGAGAAGUCCACUAAACCUUAUCAUUUAGA